AUGCAAGUCGAACGGUAACAGGAAACAGCUUGCUGUUUCGCUGACGAGUGGCGGACGGGUGAGUAAUGUCUGGGAAACUGCCUGAUGGAGGGGGAUAACUACUGGAAACGGUAGCUAAUACCGCAUAACGUCGCAAGACCAAAGAGGGGGACCUUCGGGCCUCUUGCCAUCGGAUGUGCCCAGAUGGGAUUAGCUAGUAGGUGGGGUAACGGCUCACCUAGGCGACGAUCCCUAGCUGGUCUGAGAGGAUGACCAGCCACACUGGAACUGAGACACGGUCCAGACUCCUACGGGAGGCAGCAGUGGGGAAUAUUGCACAAUGGGCGCAAGCCUGAUGCAGCCAUGCCGCGUGUAUGAAGAAGGCCUUCGGGUUGUAAAGUACUUUCAGCGGGGAGGAAGGGAGUAAAGUUAAUACCUUUGCUCAUUGACGUUACCCGCAGAAGAAGCACCGGCUAACUCCGUGCCAGCAGCCGCGGUAAUACGGAGGGUGCAAGCGUUAAUCGGAAUUACUGGGCGUAAAGCGCACGCAGGCGGUUUGUUAAGUCAGAUGUGAAAUCCCCGGGCUCAACCUGGGAACUGCAUCUGAUACUGGCAAGCUUGAGUCUCGUAGAGGGGGGUAGAAUUCCAGGUGUAGCGGUGAAAUGCGUAGAGAUCUGGAGGAAUACCGGUGGCGAAGGCGGCCCCCUGGACGAAGACUGACGCUCAGGUGCGAAAGCGUGGGGAGCAAACAGGAUUAGAUACCCUGGUAGUCCACGCCGUAAACGAUGUCGACUUGGAGGUUGUGCCCUUGAGGCGUGGCUUCCGGAGCUAACGCGUUAAGUCGACCGCCUGGGGAGUACGGCCGCAAGGUUAAAACUCAAAUGAAUUGACGGGGGCCCGCACAAGCGGUGGAGCAUGUGGUUUAAUUCGAUGCAACGCGAAGAACCUUACCUGGUCUUGACAUCCACGGAAGUUUUCAGAGAUGAGAAUGUGCCUUCGGGAACCGUGAGACAGGUGCUGCAUGGCUGUCGUCAGCUCGUGUUGUGAAAUGUUGGGUUAAGUCCCGCAACGAGCGCAACCCUUAUCCUUUGUUGCCAGCGGUCCGGCCGGGAACUCAAAGGAGACUGCCAGUGAUAAACUGGAGGAAGGUGGGGAUGACGUCAAGUCAUCAUGGCCCUUACGACCAGGGCUACACACGUGCUACAAUGGCGCAUACAAAGAGAAGCGACCUCGCGAGAGCAAGCGGACCUCAUAAAGUGCGUCGUAGUCCGGAUUGGAGUCUGCAACUCGACUCCAUGAAGUCGGAAUCGCUAGUAAUCGUGGAUCAGAAUGCCACGGUGAAUACGUUCCCGGGCCUUGUACACACCGCCCGUCACACCAUGGGAGUGGGUUGCAAAAGAAGUAGGUAGCUUAACCUUCGGGAGGGCGCUUACCACUUUGUGAUUCAUGACUGGGGUGAAGUCGUAACAAGGUAACCGUAGGGGAACCUGCGGUUGGAUCACCUCCUUACCUUAAAGAA
rnacentral:rRNA from 1 species